CAAACUGUUGGUUUUUUAGCCUUAAGCCUUAUUUCAUCAAAACGAUAAUAAUUUAUGACUCAAAGAUUUAUAUGCACUGUUCUAAGUAAGAGUUAUAUUUGCUAAGCUAAUAUUAGUGUCCGCUGCGAUACGAAAAUGCCCACUUUAUCCACAGGGUUGAUGUUUGCAAACGCUACAAAAAUUCAAUAAGACAUAAUUGAUUUAAUUAUGUAUAUAGUUUAUUUUAUAUUGAAUUGUUUAUUUAUAUGGAAUUGUGAAACUAGUUUCACAGUAUAGUAACACAGACACAACAGAUUAGGAAUGGAGCGACCGCCCUUAGGUUAUUUAAAUAAUAAAUUUUAGUGUAACAUUUUUUUUUUUUAAAUGCGCUGAGUUCGUUGCUCCUGUUCUUCACAGGUCUGAAGCCAUACAUUUUUGAAAGGGCAAGUAAUCAUUUUUCUGUGUGCUCCAUGAAACCACGUCGUUUUCCAAAAAAACUAGUAAUUAACUUAAAGUAUCAAGAAGUCUAAAUGGUGACAAACAAUGUAGCCGAGUGUGUUUGGAUCCCACAGAUGACAAGGAACCAGUUUGUAUGAUAUACAGCAGAUACAAGACUGACUAUUUGUUUUUUGUUAACCUGUGUCACGCUAGACGAUUAAUCUGCCGCGAAAAUAUAGUUUAUUCCAGCUUAGCUCAUCACGCCACAAAUUAGGAUAUCAUCGCCACCAUCUGGAUGUGCGGCGUUCCUCCACAGUACUGUUUUCCAAGAACUUUCUUCCACGUACAACCAAGCUUGAGCGUCCUUGUGCGGUGUUUCCGGGACGAUUCGUCAUCGUACUUUCAAAAAAACGCGUACACCUUCCUUAAAGGUGAAUGCUCCUGUGAUUCCUCUGGUGUUGCAAGUAAUUGUGGGCGGCGGUGAUCACUUAAAACCAGUUCUUCACAUGGUUCAUCCCAGCCGAUGUUUGAAGAGCAAAGUAUACUUUAUGCCAAUUGUUUAAUAAAUCUACGUUCUAUUUUAAAUACACAAAAAAAGGGACGAGACGAGCGACGACGAUUUGAUUUCUGAACGACGGGAGGCACAUCAAAGGAAGAACAAAAUUGUUGGUUUUAUUUAAUUCCAAGCAUUUUUAUAUUCAUUCACCUUUUAAACCUUCUCUGGACUUCCACAAAUAAUUCAAGACCAAAAUAAGCCAAAUCGGUCCAGCCGUUCUCGAGUUUUAGUGAGAAUAACGAACAGCAAUUCAUUUUUAUAUAUAUAGAUAAUCCUGUAGUUAUUGUAAAUUAGGGUGAGCAUAUUCUAUGGUAUUUCGCAUUGUUCAUCGCACAUAAUUCGGUAUAAGUCCGGACCGUACCGAGUACGACCAUGUGCUUAGGCUAUUUAGUAAGAAAUUACUUUUUGGUGUGAAACUUCUAAGUCUUUGUGAUUUUGAAACUUGGUGAAACAAAAGAGACACAAACAGGUAAAAAUGUAUAGGAUUCAGCUGGCGGGAGAAUGAGAUAGGAAGCAUUAGUGUUUUGGUACCAGGCGAUCAUAGUUGAAGAAGAGAUUGGCUUACGUACGACACGAGUAUACCAUAAUAUAUUCUGACGUCAUGCGCACGACGUAUUGCUACUUAGACACCAGGAGAACAUAAAUAUGGUAGCGGUAAUAAUAAUAUAUUUCAUAGCGGUUGAAAUCAUGUGUUAGGAUGAUAACAUGUACCAGGACUUCAUAUGCAGUUAAGAGGAACAAUGCACAUCUUAAAAUGAUUGUACAAGUGCUGACCAUCUUGAAGCCAAAAUUUUUGAAGGUUUUACUUCUACCACGUGUGAAUUGCACAGCACACAUGUUUUUUUUUAAAGUUUGAGACAUUGAGCAUAAGUCAGUUAGUAAAUUAAAACUGUUUGUAAAUCAUAUCCCAUGAAUAGAGAACCGAUUAAACUUAAGCAAUUGGAGCUGAAGUAAAUACGUUUUAGUUUUAAAUGAUUAAUCUAAAGCAAUUCAGUACGCUGAGUUAAAUUAACUGACGUACUUCUGAAGAAGGAUUUGUUCAGGUUUGUGUUUGCUAUCGAAACCUGAGGAUACUUUAUGUCUUAAUUAAAAGUUUUCCAAUUAAGUCUAUAUGUUUCUUAGCAUGUACACUGACCACAAAAAGUGUAGAUACACAUCUUGUUUGAAGCAACUGUGCUGUAUUAUACAACUCAAAUUUAAGGAAAUUUACAAUUUAUAUCAUUACAUUUUAAUGAAAAUUAAUUUUGGUCAAAUUUAAAGUUGUGCCUCAUUACAAAAUAUAUACU